rnacentral:tRNA from 1 species
CGGGGUGUAGCUCAGCUUGGCUAGAGCACUGGCUUCGGGAGUCAGGUGUCGGAGGUUCGAAUCCUCUCACCCCGA